rnacentral:rRNA from 1 species
GACGGAGGGUGCUAGCGUUGUUCGGAUUCAUUGGGCGUAAAGGGUGCGUAGGCGGCGCGGUAAGUCGGGUGUGAAAUCUCGGAGCUUAACUCCGAAACUGCAUUCGAUACUGCCGUGCUUGAGGACUGGAGAGGAGACUGGAAUUUACGGUGUAGCGGUGAAAUGCGUAGAUAUCGUAAGGAAGACCAGUGGCGAAGGCGGGUCUCUGGACAGUUCCUGACGCUGAGGCACGAAGGCCAGGGAGCAAACGGG